UACGUAGGUGGCAAGCGUUAUCCGGAAUUAUUGGGCGUAAAGCGCGCGCAGGCGGUUUCUUAAGUCUGAUGUGAAAGCCCCCGGCUCAACCGGGGAGGGUCGUUGGUGACUGUCGCGCUUGAAGGCAGCAGGGGUGAGUGGAAUUCCCGGUGUAGUGGUGAAAUGCGUAGAUAUCUGGAGGAACACCGGUGGCGAAGGCGGCAUCCUGGACCGGCAUUGACGCUGAGGCGCGAAAGCCAGGGGAGCAAACGGG
rnacentral:rRNA from 1 species